rnacentral:lncRNA from 1 species
AGGUAGACCAAAUCGUGGCAGAGCUUUCGUGUCGUGUCCGAAAGUUUGUGUCUUGCACAUGCAUGGUGCUGUGUAGUGGAGUAGUAUCGUUCUGAACGCUGUGUAAUUUGUUUGCUCAAAGUGAGUAGCUUUUCCGAAGUAUCAAGCUGAAUACUUCAUCUUUAAACAAAAAGACAGUUUGGCCGAGUGGUCUAAGGCGCCAGAUUUAGGCUCUGGUCCGAAAGGGCGUGGGUUCAAAUCCCACAGCUGUCACAUUUUUGGAUGUUUUGCCUGGGAAAUACCAUGAUGAGCUCUGCUUCUAUUACCUCUGCGCUCAACAGCCAAUACUCCCCUGCUCUUUUCCAGAUCAUGUUCUCACGAAACCACUCUCAUGCACUCAUAUUUCCAUGUCAAAAUCCAAUGUACAGUUGCAUGUUUUCCUCAAAAUGUUAUUACUACAGCAACUAGUUUUUUUUUAUGUCCUCUUAAAAAACAUUUUUUUCAGGUCAAAUAUCACAAUACUAGUAUUUCUGUAAAAUAUUCUUUACAUCAGCAAUUGUUAACAUAAUAACCAUGGAUCAAUCGUAUGUUAGUUUUUUCCCCAAACCCUAAACCCUCUUGCGGCGACAGAGGCGAUCUAGGGUUUUGACGUGGAACUUGACGUUCGGCCGGAGACUCGUCGCCGGCGCGAGGGAAGAUCGAAGGCGAGGGCAUCAGUGAUAGCUGCUCCUCGCGCGGCAGCAGCAGGGGGCAGCUCCCAGGCGGGUAGCGACAUCAGGAAGAAGUUGGAGGAGGCCUUGGGAAAACUUGAUAUAUCCGAGGAGGAGGCGACUCCGCUCGGACCGAGGGAGGACCGGUGAAGUGGCUGGUGGCGGGUAAAGUACUCCAUCGAAAUCCUUUUCAUAUCCAAACCAUCACCAACGCGCUUCGUCCGGCAUGGGGUAAUCCACGAGGUCUGCAGUUCCGCUCAGCGGGGCUAAACCCGUUUGUGGCAGAAUUUGAGAACCAACGAGAGAGAGACCGAGUUUGGGGACGAUCGCCAUGGCACAUCAACAAGCAUGCUGUGAUACUGGCAGAGUUUGAUGAUUGCAUGAGGCCUGAUGAGGUAAAGUUUGACAGGUUGCAUAUCUGGGCUAGGGUUAUCAAUCUACCCUACAAUUUGAGGGAUGAAUUGUGGUGGGUGCCAAUUGCUAAGCAGAUGGAUCUACACGCGCAACAAGUCAAGUUUGAUCACAAUGGGGGGUUCUUGCGUGCAAGGAUCUCCAUUGACGUUAACAAGCCACUUAAAAGGUGGAUUUUGAUAGAUUCUGCAAGGAGGAAAAGGGUGGAUAUGUGUGAUAUAUCCGAGGAGGAGGCGACUCCGCUUGUGCUUGAUGAUCGGACCGAGGGAGGACCGUUGAAGUGGCUGGUGGCGGGUAAAGUACUCCAUCGAAAUCCUUUUCAUAUCCAAACCAUCACCAACGCGCUUCGUCCGGCAUGGGGUAAUCCACGAGGUCUGCAGUUCCGCUCAGCGGGGCUAAACCCGUUUGUGGCAGAAUUUGAGAACCAACGAGAUAGAGACCGAGUUUGGGGACGAUCGCCAUGGCACAUCAACAAGCAUGCUGUGAUACUGGCAGAGUUUGAUGAUUGCAUGAGGCCUGAUGAGGUAAAGUUUGACAGGCUGCAUAUCUGGGCUAGGGUUAUCAAUCUACCCUACAAUUUGAGGGAUGAAUUGUGGUGGGUGCCAAUUGCUAAGCAGAUGGAUCUACACGCGCAACAAGUCAAGUUUGAUCACAAUGGGGGGUUCUUGCGUGCAAGGAUCUCCAUUGACGUUAACAAGCCACUUAGAAGGUGGAUUUUGAUAGAUUCUGCAAGGAGGAAAAAGGUGGAUAUGUAUGAUAUAUCCGAGGAGGAGUACCGUACUUUUGCUUCUCCUGCGGCAGAUUGGGACACUCUGAACUCUAUUGUCCAACACCAGGAUCUAGAGAUGAGAAAGGGGAGCUUCCGUUCGGUCCUACGCUGCGUGCACCGGACGAAUCAAGCUAUAAUGAUGGAUCUUCCAGGGAGCCGAAGUCUGGUGCGACUAGCAAACCAACCACGAGAAACUCUACCACCAACAAGGACACCGGAGACGAGGUGGUCUCCCCCCACAAGAACAAGCCACCGCCGAAACGUAAGGAGACCCCAAACCAGGUUUAUAGGCCUGUGGCGAAGACCUUGCUUCUCACCGGGGGAGGAUCGGAUGCAGAUGGAAUUGGCACUAGUAAAACUGAUGAAGAUCCAACUUCAGCUAGCAAUGAUACUGGAAUUUUGUUCGCGAGCAGAAAAAGAAGAAGCCCACUCCUGAUAAUUCGGCAGAGAUCGCUCCGCGGUCCUGCCAGUCCCAAUGAGUUGCUUGAGCUAGAACUGUCGGGGGCUUGGGAACCCCGAGGCAGUUCGAGAGCUUCGCAGUAUUGUGAAGCUAGAAGGACCCACUCUUCUCUUUGUUAUGGAAACUAAAAUCAAUGCAAAAAGAGUUGAGAAUUUGAAAUACACUCUUGGUUUUGGAGGUUGUUUUGCUGUAGACAGUGUCGGCCUUAGUGGCGGCAUUGGUCUUUUCUGGUCUCGAGAUGUUAUCAUCGAGCUAAAAAAUUAUAGUCAGUGCCAUAUCGAUGUGGUUGUCCAAAGUAAUGAUCAAGUUUCCUCAAUAUGGCGGUUCACUGGCUUUUACGGGGCGCCUAGAGCUGAAGAUCGUAUACAUAGCUGGCAGUCCCUUCGUACUCUCCUUGCACUACCACAUGCGGCAUGGUUGUGUAUGGGAGACUUUAAUGAAACUCUGUAUGCUUCCGAACACUUCAGUAGAGCAGCGCGAUCGGAGAGGCAUAUGCGUGCUUUUAGGGAGAUGGUGGAUGAGGUUUCUCUUCAGGAUCUCGGUUGGUCGGGUACUGCCUACACUUGGGACAAUCGCCAAAGUGGCGAGUCAAAUGUCAAGGCCAGACUGGACAGGGUUUUUGCGAACAAAGAGUUCAGGCAACACUUCCAGCACAUCAGAGUUAGACACCUUCCGUCGGUGGUGUCUGAUCAUUGCUUUGUGGUGGCAGAAAUAAAAAUGCAUAUGCCUGGUAGGUCACGGGCAAAGAAGCAAUUUCGGUAUGAGAACAUUUGGCAGACUCAUGUGGAUUAUGACCGCAUAGUUCAGGAAACAUGGCGGGGCAUACAACAUACGCUAGGGCUUCAAGGGAUUGCAUCGGCCUUGGGAACAUUACAAGCGACCCUUGAACCUUGGGGUUCUAGCGAAUUUGGUAGUCUGUCGCGUACGGUUCAACAACUGCAGAAGAGGCUAGAUCGAGUUCGAUGCCGGUCAAUUGGCUCGGGCCCAACGGAGGAAGAAAAGCGUAUUGUUCAGAAGCUGAAGGAGGCUUUACACCAAGAAGAGGUGUGGCUCCGACAGCGCUCCAGGGUUCCCUGGCUUCAUGAUGGCGACCGAAAUACAGCCUAUUUUUAGGCUCAAGCGGCACAGCGUAAAUGGAUUAAUAAAAUCUCGUGCCUUCGACAAGGGGAUGGCUCGGUUUGUAUGUCUGAAGAAGAGGAUAAACUGGAAGUGCAAGCAUUCUAUCAAAACAUGUACCAAACGCAAGGUUUUUCGGAUGCUACUCACCUAUUAUCGCAUGUGCCUGAGAAAGUAACCCAGGCCAUGAACGAUGAUCUCAUCAAGCCUUACACUGCUGAAGAGGUGAAGGUUGCGCUGUUCUAGAUGGCGCCCUCCAAAGCCCCUGGAGUAGAUGGUUUUACUGCAGGGUUUUAUCAGCGCCAUUGGGAUUUGCUAGGCGCUGAUGUGACACUGGCAGUUCUGGAUUUUCUCAACGGAGGUGAGUUACCAGUGGGGCUGAACGAUACUUCUAUCACUCUAAUCCCCGAGGUACGCCAUCCGCAAUUGAUCUCACAGUAUUGACCUAUUGCUUUGUGUCCGGUCUUGUACAAGAUUGCAGCCAAGGCUAUUACAAAUCGGUUGAGAAACAUGAUGGAUCUAAUCAUCAGUGAAGAACAAAGUGCCUUCGUCCCGGGACGUCUUAUUACAGAUAACGUGCUAGUUGCUUAUGAAAGUAUACACACGAUGAAAAGAAGGAAGAAGGGGCGGAAUUUUUCUUGUGCGGUUAAGCUCGAUAUGAUGAAGGCUUAUGAUCGUGUAGAGUGGCAUCAUCUUGAAGCAAUAUUGUCACGUCUCAGUUUCAGCAUUAGCUUCAUUAGACUAAUCAUGAAGUGUGUCUCCUCUGUACGGUUCUCAGUUCGUGUUAAUGGAGAGCUACUACCAUAUUUCACACCAACGAGGGGUUUUCGACAAGGUGAUCCUGUGUCACCAUAUUUAUUUUUGUUGUGUGCUGAAGGCCUUUCCUCAUUGUUGAAAUACUACAAUGGAGGAGUUGUUGACAGGGGGCUGCGGGUGAGCUAUCGAUCUCCGUGGGUCACCCAUCUCUUAUUUGCGGAUGACAGCCUCACCUUCAUCAAGGCAAACAAUCUGAGUGCUAUCCGUUUGAAUGAAAUUCUCAGAAUUUAUGGUGAAGCUUCGGGUCAGUGUGUCAAUAGAGACAAAAGCUCAAUAUAUUUCAACACCAACACACCAUCAGAUCUGCGGCAAGUCUUGAAGGCUACUCUGAACAUUCAAGUAGAAGCUUUCAAUGAAAAGUAUCUGGGUCUACCCACAGCUGUUGGGCGGAUCACGAGUGGGACUUUUGAUCAUAUCAGCGAAAGGGUACGUUCAAAAAUCCAGGGAUGGUCAGAGAGGCUACUAGCUUGUGCGGGGCGUGACACUUUGUUAAAAUCAAUAGCUCAAGCUAUUCCCACAUAUCCUAUGAGUACCUUUCUGCUUACCAAGAAAGUUUGCAAGAGCUUAACUUCACCCAUGGCUAAAUACUUUUGGGGCAGUUCUCUUGACAAGAAGGCUAUGCAUUGGGUGUCCUCGAAAGAAUUGGCGACACCCAAGUGCAAGGGGGGAAUGGGAUUCAGAGAUCCUCAUCUUUUCAAUCUUGCUAUGCUGGGUAAGCAUGGCUGGCGGUUUUUGACAAAUUCAAAUUCCCUGUGUGCGAGAGUGGUGAAAGGACGCUACUUCCCCGAUACAGAUUUCAUGCAUGCCUCUGCACCCAAGUCAGCCUCGACCACUUGGAAGGCGAUCAUAGCAGGAAGGGAAGCUUUACGACCGGGUUUGAUCACUCGUGUUGGAGAUGGCAGUUCUAUAUCGGUUUGGACAGAUAAAUGGAUUCCGGGAACGAUCAGCAUGAUACCUGUUUCACGACCGCCGAACACUAACAUUCAGUUAGUCUCAGAGCUUAUUGAUUAUGAUAGCUGGUCUUGGAGACAGGAUUUGAUCAGAGACAACUUCAUUGCUUCUGAUGCUGCAGCCAUUCUUAACAUUCCUAUCCGGUCGGGUGGAGGUAAUGAUUUCCCUGCUUGGGCAUUCAAAAAAUCAGGUAACUACACUGUGAAAACGGCGUACCGCUCUCUUGUGACUCAUAACGAGCGUCUGGCUCUAGAGGAAGGGACGGCUACCGGGACCUCAUUGAGUGAUCAACAGCUGUGCAAAGCCCUGUGGAAGUUGAAUGUUAUUCCAAAAGUUAGAGUGUUCUGGUGGAGAGUGCUUCGUGGGAUUCUUCCUGAUGAAACAACACUCAAUCAUCGACAUAUAGCGGAGGCUCGCCAAUGCAAAGUAUGUCUAACGACGGAUGAGGAUCUGAAACAUGCACUUUUACAAUGUCCACACGCUCAAAGCUUCUGGGAAGAAGCCUGUGCGUGGUUUGGACUUCGGCUCCCCAACCUUCAUCCUGAGUCAUGGGCGCGGGAUAUCACCUGUGCUCCAAGUUUUUCUCCAGAUGAUCGAGCACUGAUCACAACCAGCAUGUGGUCCAUUUGGCACUCCAGGAACCGCAUGAAGCAUGGUGAAGAGGGCAGAGACCCUGUGGCUACCAUACGAGCCACUAAGGAGGCCAUUGCACUCCUUCAUCUACCACGCAAAGAUGCACAGGUUUUGCUUGGCUUUGGAUGGCGCCCGCUCGAUGAGGGUUUUGUCAAAAUUAACAUGGAUGGCGGGCUGAACCUGGCGCUCGGCCGGGGUGGUGCGGGAGGAGUUGCAUGCUCUCCCUCUGCCCUACUUGGUGCGUGGUGCAAGCCUUAUUCGGGGAUCACGGAUCCCCUAAUUAUGGAAGGUCUUUCCUUGCGUGAUGGUGUUCGCUUUGCUUCUCUCCGAGGCUUCUCCCAUGUGUUAAUGGAAGUGGAUUGCUCGGAGUUGGUGACACUCUGGAAUUCUCGCCACAAUUCUUGUUCUAUUGUGGCCUACUUAUUAGAUGAGAUAGGAGAGCUCAGUACUUACUUUACAUCCUUUGAGAUUUGUCAUGUAAGUAGAUCAGCUAAUCUCCCUACGCAUCUUUGUGCUAAACGUGCUUGUGCACUGGAUGUUACGGAUAGCUGGCUAGAUGAAACUCCAAGCUUCUCGGUAACCAGCUUAUUGGCUGAUUGUUCCAAGAAUGCUUUUAUGUGAAUAAAACUCUCCAAUUUGCUUGCAAAAAAAACCAUGGAUCAAUCAAAGUAAUUGGAACAUCAUAAAAGCACAAUGUUAUCUUCAAAACAAUCUUCAGCAACAACUCCAUUUUCCCGAGCACAUUGUUCAGGACAACAAUCCAAUUUAUUAUAUUUCAAAGUCAAAUUUCCCAUGGUACACUUGUAUGCUUUCUCCAAAAUAUUUUUUUCGACAAAUGGUGGAUUUUAUUGGCUCAAACUGGAGUAUUCAAAAUGGAGUGUCAAGAGGUCCAUAAUAUUCUUUACACCAACUAGUAUUUUCUCUUCCAAACAUAUAUACUUGAGAAAAAAUAAAAUAAUUUUCAAGACAAAUAUCCCAAUCGUAUGUGCUCUACAAAUAUUCUUACAACAACAUUGUUUCAGUAAUGAUCUGUAGAACAAUCAAAGUAAUGAUGAAAAUCAAGAAAUCUAAAUGCUAUCUUCAAAAUAUUAUUUACAACAACAAUUGUGUUUUUUCGUGUGAGUGAGGACAAUUAGCUUUCCUUCUAAUAAAUAGUUCAAAUCCCACAGCUGUCACAUUUUUGGAUGUUUUGCCUGGAAAAUACCAUGAUGAGCUCUGCUUCUAUUACCUCUGCGCUCAACAGCCAAUACUCCCCUGCUCUUUUCCAGAUCAUGUUCUCACGAAACCACUCUCAU